rnacentral:rRNA from 1 species
CGGACGGGUGAGUAAUGUCUGGGAAACUGCCUGAUGGAGGGGGAUAACUACUGGAAACGGUAGCUAAUACCGCAUAGCGUCGCAAGACCAAAGAGGGGGACCUUAGGGCCUCUUGCCAUCGGAUGUGCCCAGAUGGGAUUAGCUAGUAGGUGGGGUAAAGGCUCACCUAGGCGACGAUCCCUAGCUGGUCUGAGAGGAUGACCAGCCACACUGGAACUGAGACACGGUCCAG